rnacentral:rRNA from 1 species
GUGGGGAAUAUUGGACAAUGGGGGGAACCCUGAUCCAGCCAUGCCGCGUGUGUGAAGAAGGCCUUUUGGUUGUAAAGCACUUUAAGCGAGGAGGAGGCUACCGAGAUUAAUACUCUUGGAUAGUGGACGUUACUCGCAGAAUAAGCACCGGCUAACUCUGUGCCAGCAGCCGCGGUAAUACAGAGGGUGCAAGAGUUAAUCGGAUUUACUGGGCGUAAAGCGCGCGUAGGUGGCCAAUUAAGUCAAAUGUGAAAUCCCCGAGCUUAACUUGGGAAUUGCAUUCGAUACUGGUUGGCUAGAGUAUGGGAGAGGAUGGUAGAAUUCCAGGUGUAGCGGUGAAAUGCGUAGAGAUCUGGAGGAAUACCGAUGGCGAAGGCAGCCAUCUGGCCUAAUACUGACACUGAGGUGCGAAAGCAUGGGGAGCAAACAGGAUUAGAAACCCGAGUAGUCC